rnacentral:lncRNA from 1 species
CGCUUAUAGGAAUGGGUUAUUGUUUAUAAAUUGCUAGCUAUCCCAUAAAGCCACCACCGAAAACCACAUAUUUUCAUCUUCCUCUGAAGACGAUGCAAAGUUUUUUUUUUUUUUUUUUUAAGUAUGCAGCGUCCAUCUAACAACGGAGCGGUCAACAGCAAGGGGGCGUUGUGUUUCCAAUCUGUUGUGGACAUCCAUUGAAAUGCAGUACAUCUGGCGCAAUGUAACAGAGUGCUUAUGGGUAAUGAAAACUUGAGGGGCUUUAGGGUUGUCAGACAAUUUUUGGGCCAAACCUAGCUCAAAUUCUACACGUUGGAGUAAAACGAGGCUACAGCGUCCAUAAGGCUGCAAUCCACUCCCAGUUAAGCGGGGUCCGGUCAGGCCACCUUCAGCUCCAAAAUGCCCUGGGGGAUGUGAUGGACAUCCAGAACUUUCUUUCUGGUAGAAGUCAGCAAUGACUGGAGGCAAAACAUUAACACCAUUGAGAACCUGAAGUAUGUAAAAUAUGCUGGGACGCAACAUCAGCGGUGGCUCCUCAGAGGAGGAAAGUGAGGACCAUUCUCCUCAGUGAAUAUAUGUAUGCUAAAUAUAUUCACAUCACUAAAUAAUGAAUUAAAACACACUGUUUUGCAAUGAAGGUCUACAGUAGCCUCAACAGCACUCUCUGGGGUAGCACAAUGGUGUAGCUGGAGAACAGAUAGUUUCCGUCCUCCUCUGUGUACAUUAACUUCAUUACAAAACCUAAGAGGCUCAUGGUUGUCACCCCCUUCCAUAGACUUAGAGUAAUUAUGACUGUAUUAGAGGGUGAUGCCUCUGGAAUUUAUGCACUGAUUGAGUAGGUGAAGUUAUGGAGAUUGUGCUCUUAUUAGAGAAAUGGUGAGAGAGACAGUUCCUCAGUUUAGGGUUAUUUAAUGUUGAUUGGAGAUUAACAAUGUUUGCAAUUCUGUGCCAUGUCACUCAGCUGUGAUUAUCCAAUGAAC